rfam:Tauraco erythrolophus contig30482, whole genome shotgun sequence.
ACCGAGACUAGAGUCACAUCUCCACAUGUUCGAUUGUCUUGGUGUGCUGUAGUUCUCGGACAUAAACGUCUGAUCCCUGUUCACUGGCUGCGAUCUCUCGUGUCUCUGCCAGCCACUGAAUCAGUGACACUG